rnacentral:lncRNA from 1 species
CGAGCCCCCCAGCCGCAGAGUCCAAUCCCGAUCGAGCCGGUCGCACGAGCAGGCGCGGCCGAGCCACCACUGGAUUCAUCCUCCAUCGUUCACAGAUCAUUUUGCUCGAGGACGCCACCAGCGACGGGGAAGGAUGCCGCCACUGGAUCCACCACUCUACCUCUCCCCUGCUCCUAAUCCAAGGUUCCCCCAUGGAUUCAGCCCAAUUCUCUAAGCCUUCUUUUUUUGGCUUGCAGGUGAGCGCAAAUAGGAAGCGAAGAGCCUUCUCCUGCAGCGGCGGGGGCGAUUGGGAUGAAGCCGCCACCACCGUUCCCCCACUACUCUGGUUCCCCGACGACUUCGCAAGUCCGUGGUAUGCCUCCUCUACUCCUCACCCGAUGCCUCCUUGUUUCUCUCAGUUGUGAUUUCUAGGUGUUGUGCUUGUACUCUCCUAUGAUUUUGAGAAGGGACCUCCCCUGCUUGCAAAGUAUGACGUAACUGAAUUACGAAACUGUAAUAAUUUUUGUCCAGUCUAUCUCUACGUUUGUUGAUCCACGGGAUGUCAAGAGAGCAUAGGUAAUGGCUGGAUAAUGGAAGGGAUUAUGAACAAGGGAGCGUGAUCCGUACACUCUUGCUUGGAUCGAUCUGUGGUGAUCUAUUUGUCCCUGCCUUUCUAUCUUCACGAUCCUCUUGGGCAUGAGACCCGUCUAGGUCUUAAGUGUUUUUCAUAGCUUUGAAUGAAGGGAAGGCCUAAUGAUGAUUUAGUAAAUUAUUGUGGUAGUCACAAGGACAUCAUGCAAGAGGCAACCAGAUGCAAGAGGCACUAGAGGAGAUAUAUGGAGAGUAGAGAGGAAAUCAAAUGUAUGGUACAAACUACAAAGAAAUGGAACUUCAGAAAUAUCUGGCAGUCAAAGGAAGAAACACAAGAAGUUACAUUAUGCCUUUAACUUAAAUCAUGUAGCAGAACAAAAUACUUCUCUAUUUAUUUCUGAAUGCCUGCCUUUUCUUCAAGUAAUAUCGUCAUACAUAACACAUUCGACUUGUGUUAAGAGUGCUGAUAGAACUCCUGUUAGAAACAUGGCGAGGUUGAACCCAACGAUUUCAGAAACACUAUAAAAAGUGUUGAGCAUUAAAAAGGUGUUCUACUGUAGUGGUAAUGCUUUUCUUAGAGUGGCGAAUAUGUUUUUGUUCUUAGGAACCUACUGUAGUGUAAUGCCGUCAGCAUGCAUGUAAAAGUCAUGUCAUAAUAUACUGUUUAUACUGCAUCAUUGGUUUAGUACCCACUUUGUGUGUUUUCUCAUCGAAUUUAGUGAAAGCUCGAUGACGAUUGCUAUGCAUCCACUGAAAUAACUAAAAUUUCCAUUGGUUCAGUAACGGAUGCCAUUGUAAGAAUAAUUAGUCAUUGCAUUUCUUUCAUAUAAUUAAGUUUGUAAUGUAUGGCCAGUGUGGCUCCAUUUACCAUCGACCAUAUCAUACUGAUUAUGUUGUAGAAUUAUCAUGAAGGAAGGGGGCGGCCAAGGUGGCUCAUAUUCUACAUUGGCUCGCCGAUCCUCUUGUCCUCUUUCUCCUAUGGAAAAGGAACUAUGCUUCUGGAAUCAGGAUGAAAACACAUCUUGCAGCUGUAAUAUAGGUGGUUAUGUCAGAGGCCUAGGGAGAGGUGUUGUCUGCAUAGGCGUCGCCUGGCUGCAGCGAUCGGAACACUAGGAUUAUCUAAGAAAUAUAGAAGAAAGACAGCAUGUAAAUGAUCAAUAUCUGAUUUGAGUAUGUUAAAUGAAGUAGUAGAAAUUAACUGCUCCACUGAAAAUAGAAAUGAAAUACUUAUAUGCUUAUUUAAAGCUAUUCUUAUUAUUCUACUGAAAUCCAUCGAAGAUAGUCUAUUUAGCUGACUCAAUCCCUACAGUUGCUUCUACAGUAUUUAGUACAUCAUUUAUUUGAUUUCCUAACUAAUUGAAAUUCUUGUUAGCACUCUUCUCCAUGAAUGCGAAGCACUCCACAAAAAACGCCUAGGUGCAACGGGCUUGCCUGAUUAUUAUUUGUUGCUGAACAUGGUGGCCCUUUGAGUAGAGAGACCUUCUAAGAUUUCAGUAAUGCACCAUCUAUACAAUCUAUAAUGACCAGUUAUGUCUCAUGUUAUAUAUUUAUUUUGUAUGUUGCUUGUCUUGGCUGAUUGAUUGGUAGUUUCCUUGUAUCAGCUCUUAAUUUGUUUCUACCCAUAAGACUGAAUUCAGAAAUAAUCAAGUGUUGGUCCCUUACUAAAUUUAUGUUUUACAUGUUAAAGCUUCAUUAUCUGAAGCCAUGCGGUUCAUGGUAAUUCAUUUUUACAAGUUCCCUACACAAAGUACUCAAUCAAAAAAUAAAAAAUAAAAGAAUAUGUCUAAGAUGUG